rnacentral:rRNA from 1 species
UUACCAGACUCCUACGGGAGGCAGCAGUGGGGAAUAUUGCACAAUGGGGGAAACCCUGAUGCAGCGACGCCGCGUGAGCGAUGAAGUAUUUCGGUAUGUAAAGCUCUAUCAGCAGGGAAGAAGAUGACGGUACCUGACUAAGAAGCCCCGGCUAACUACGUGCCAGCAGCCGCGGUAAUACGUAGGGGGCAAGCGUUAUCCGGAUUUACUGGGCGUAAAGGGAGCGUAGACGGCGAUGCAAGUCUGAAGUGAAAGGCGGGGGCCCAACCCCCGGACUGCUUUGGAAACUGUAUGGCUGGAGUGCAGGAGAGGUAAGUGGAAUUCCUAGUGUAGCGGUGAAAUGCGUAGAUAUUAGGAGGAACACCAGUGGCGAAGGCGGUCUGCUGGACAGCAACUGACGCUGAGGCGCGAAAGCGUGGGGAGCAAACAGGAUUAGAUACCCCCGUA